GCAAUGGGAGGGAUUGCUUAGUGGCUUGAGCAUUGUUCUGCUAAACCCAGGGUUGUGAACUCAAUCCUUGAGGGGGCCAUUUAGGGAUGUGGGGCAAAAAGCUGUCUGGGGUUUGGU